UUUUAGCCCAGAUGGUAGCGGAAACCCCGGAGUUAAGGAAGUUAUUUUUCUAGGUGUAAAAGAGCGACCAACGGAAGCUCCUUUUAUGCUUUAGAAAAACAACUGGAAUAACGAGGAGUUGCAGUGCACAGCUGGAUUGGCU
rnacentral:misc_RNA from 1 species